rnacentral:rRNA from 1 species
ACAUAAUAUUACUAGGUAGUAAACAAUAAAACCAAUAAAGCUUGGCAGUUAUAAUCAAUUAGAGAAACUUGUUUUAUAAUCGACAAUUCUCGAUAAAUUUAACUUUUAUUUAAAGUUUAUAUACCGCCGUUUCAGAUAUAAAUAAAAAGUAAUAUCACAGUCAUAAAAAUUAAAAAAUCAGGUCAAGGUAUAGCCAAUAUAAAAGUAAAAAUUAGUUACAAUAAGACAAAAUUAAGGAAUAUUAUUAAAAACUCAAUACUAAAAAGAAUCUAAUAACAAGUGAU